rnacentral:rRNA from 1 species
GACAGAGGUGCCGAGCGUUAGGCGGAAUCACUGGGCUUAAAGCGUGUGUAGGCGGGCCGUUAAGUAUCUUGUGAAAUCCCCCCGGCUCAACCGGGGAAUGGCUGGAUAUACUGGCGGUCUUGAGCAAUCUAGGGGCAGAUGGAACAGACGGUGGAGCGGUGAAAUGCGUAGAUAUCGUCUGGAACGCCAAAGGUGAAGACAGUCUGCUGGGGAUUCGCUGACGCUGAGACACGAAAGCCAGGGGAGCGAACGGG